rnacentral:rRNA from 1 species
CCUACGGGAGGCAGCAGUGGGGAAUAUUGCACAAUGGGCGCAAGCCUGAUGCAGCCAUGCCGCGUGUAUGAAGAAGGCCUUCGGGUUGUAAAGUACUUUCAGCGGGGAGGAAGGGAGUAAAGUUAAUACCUUUGCUCAUUGACGUUACCCGCAGAAGAAGCACCGGCUAACUCCG